AUAUUGCACAAUGGAGGAAACUCUGAUGCAGCGACGCCGCGCGCGUGAAGAAGGUCUUCGGAUCGUAAAACUCUGUCCUUGGUGAAGAUAAUGACGUUAGCCACUGAGGCAGCCCCGGCUAGCUACUUGCCAGCAGCCGCGGUAAUACGUAGGGGGCUAGCGUUGUCCGGAUUUAAUGGGCGUAACGGGUGAGUAGGCGGUUGCAUAAGUCAGAUGUAAAAGGCUGAGGCUUAACCAUAGUAUGCAUUUGAAACUGUGUGACUUGAGUACAGGAGAGGUAAGCGGAAUUCCUAGUGUAGCGGUGAAAUGCGUAGAUAUUAGGAGGAACACCAGUGGCGAAGGCGGCUUACUGGACUGUAACUGACGCUGAGUCACGAAAGCGUGGGUAGCAAACAG
rnacentral:rRNA from 1 species